UGACCUCAGAUCAGGUAGGAAUACCCGCU
rnacentral:rRNA from 1 species